CUAAUAGAGCGGCAGAAGAGUGCAAAGGAGUUAGAAUCCUUAUAUGGGUGGAGAUGUCUUGGUGAAACAG
rnacentral:tRNA from 1 species